rnacentral:rRNA from 1 species
UACGUAGGGGGCAAGCGUUGUCCGGAUUCAUUGGGCGUAAAGAGCGUGUAGGCGGCCAGGCAGGUCCGUUGUGAAAACUGGAGGCUUAACCUCCAGACGUCGAUGGAAACCGUAUGGCUAGAGUCCGGAAGAGGAGAGUGGAAUUCCUGGUGUAGCGGUGACAUGCGCAGAUAUCAGGAGGAACACCAAUUGCGAAGGCAGCUCGCUGGGACGUUACUGACGCUGAGACGCGAAAGCGUGGGGAGCAAACAGG